UGUUAGCUGGCAUGGUUCUUUAUACAUCAGGAAAGUUGCAAGGUGGGCUAAAUGAUUAGUGUCUGUAGUCACCGAGGACGUUGACUAACAGCAGGGGAGAGUGUAACCAGGUCAAAAAGAGAACAUGUAAAUCAUAAAAUGAACAUGUGAUUUAUCUUAUUUAAGCCCUGUGUUAUGUGUCCUGUGCAUAAAAUGUGUAUAAAUGCCUUUUUUAAUGUGUUGUUGAAAUGUUACGCUGGCCCUUUAAGAAACGGGACUGUAAUGCUGCGGGAAGUUUUUUCGUUUACUUCCUGUGUACAACGCGGUUCAAAAACGCAGUUUAGAGAGUGCACGUGCAGUGGGGAUUAUAGCAUCCAACACAAAAAAACACAAAAUAAGAAUACUAUAGUGAGAUAUAGUGAAGCUACAAGCUUUUGAGUGUUUUAUGUUAUUUGGAUGGCUGUGUAUUUUGCUGAUUGACAGCGAUUUCUGUUGAGAUACAUCUCGUGUGGUGUGUAAAUAGCACGAAAUUGAUUCUCAAAGAAGCGUAAGUGUUAACCUAUAAUCUGUAUACAAAGAGUUUUGAGACAAUUUUGUGUAUUAUGUUAUGUGGACCAGUGAUAUUGAAACAUAGUUAUUCUGUUUAAUUAAGAGGGGAGAAAGUGCUUCGUAAGGCUUCUGUGUGUUUCCUGGGGAGUGUGAAGCAUCAGAGUAAGUGUUGUCUAUCUUUAAAUAAUUUCACAAAAGGGGUUCAUGUGUCAUGUACAUGCAUGUUUUAUUGAAAUGAGUGCAAUUAUAGUGUUGCUUUCAUGUCAUGUGUUCCAAAUGUAAAAGGAAAGUUCUGUAUUCUGUUUCUUUUAUAUAUGCAGAGAAAGAACGAGUCUGUCAUAUGCUGUGAUAGUGUGUGCAUGUGUCAGAGGGGUGAUAAAAAGGCUGCUACCGUUGUCUAUGUUAGCUAGUUAAACAAAGAGAAUUCUGUCUUUUACUAAUGUGAAUGGGAAAAAGGACAUACACACUGUGAUAAGAGAAGAAAACUUUAUUUUUUUAUUUUAUUUCCACAAACUUUAUUUACAAGCUUUACCUUUCCAUCUCUGCAACUCCAAAGUUUGCAAAAUUAACGCUGCACCGCCUAACGUGCAGUCUGAAAUAAAAGAUCCCCGUUUAAAUUUUA